AUCCGGCUGAGUGUCCCAAAUAGGACGAAACGCGUGUCCUGGAU
rfam:Schistosoma mansoni strain Puerto Rico chromosome 2, complete genome